rfam:Canis lupus familiaris chromosome 35, whole genome shotgun sequence.
UCAAAGGCUCUUUUCAGAGCCGCCACAUGCACGAUGAAAAGGCCUGU